UACAGAGGGUGCGAGCGUUAAUCGGAAUUACUGGGCGUAAAGCGCGCGUAGGCGGCUUUGCAAGUCGGGUGUGAAAUCCCCAGGCUUAACCUGGGAACUGCAUUCGAGACUGCAUUGCUAGAGUAUGGGAGAGGGAAGUGGAAUUUCCGGUGUAGCGGUGAAAUGCGUAGAUAUCAGGAGGAACACCGGUGGUGUAGACGGCUCUCUGGACCGUAACUGACGCUGAGACACGAAAGCGUGGGUAGCAAACAGG
rnacentral:rRNA from 1 species